GGCGAAUCCAAUGGCAUGAAUUGCCAUGUUGCUACAAGAGGUUCCAUUUGAGAUUUUGUUGGGGACCGAGUCCAUGGCUGAGAUAGAUCCUCAAGCCGAAUAACUAGAUUUGGAGUAGUACGGAUAGGCCUUGGGGCAGCAAUCAAUCUGUCUUGAUUACUAGUCAUGGAAGUAUUGGACACAGGUGGUGGCGUGCUCAAACGUGGCACCCCUUUUCUCUCAAGAAUCAGUUCCAGAUAUGACUUGGUGAUCCAUGGUCCAUUCACACCCAUCCUUGAUGCUUCUGCUCCAACAGUUUU
rnacentral:misc_RNA from 1 species